CCAUCUCCAACCAGCCGAAACUUGUAAAUUUCUCCCAAAACCCCAAAUCUAAACCCAACCCCAAGAAGAUGAAAAAUCAAUGGCGUUUACUUCUUCUCCGAUCUCAACUCCGCAUUUCCAGGCACUCCCAUCACUCUCUCUCUCACUUCCAGGUACAAUCUUCUCCACUCUCUCGCUCUCUCUCUUCCUUCCUUCACUCACGUUCACCUCAAAUUCUCUCACCAUGCUAUUCCGCCCUAAUUCAAAACCCUAAAAUUCCUUCUUUUCGCUGUUUCUCAUCUGAACUUGCUGUUGAACAUAAAGAUUCAGAUCAAAUAGCUAUAAUAACCGACGUUUUCUCUAAACCAUUAAAUAGUAGUGAAGCAAUUAAGCUCGAAUUAGAGUCCAAUAAUGUCG
rnacentral:lncRNA from 1 species